GUCGGAAAUAAACAGGAGUCAGAAAACUUUCUUAAAUGGAGUUCAAAAAUAAAGUAAUUUCAAAUGUAAAAUGAAAAAUAGAGUGUUCCUAGAGUCAGUCUUUUAAGCGUUGUGUUUUAAAGUAGUAAAAUUGCACCAAAAAGGGGUGACUAACUCUGGCGAACUGCACCGAAGUGGUGGCUAACUCUAGACUCGAGUAGUACUAAUUUUAGUUCCGGCGAGUAUUUGGAGGCCUAUGCAAGGCCGACUCCGAAUGAAUAUCAAAUGAUAUCCUAAACUUGUCAUUAAUCAGGAGAACUUUAACAUAAAAGGUACUGAAGAAAAGUUAAAUAAAUGAAUAUUCUUAAAACAUUAUAAAAACAUCAAAAGUUAAAUACUAAAACAGUUAAAUUAACAUUCUUUACUUUUAUCUUACUAUAUUUAAAUCAAAGGAGUAGGUCCAGUAAGACCCCUUUUUGGCCCCAAAAUAUAGCAGUUUUACAAAAUUGUUAAAAUGUUAACUUUUAGUUAUUCAUUGGACAGUAGAAUGCUUCUGCUACAUAAAUAUGAGCUGUUUUUGAUAAUACAAUGCACAUAUAUCGGGUACUAGCACCAUAAAGUCAUGCUAAAUAACUGAAAUCUUCACAAUUCUAGCAUUUUAGUUAAAUUUUGGACGGUUUUCGUGUAAAACGAAAGUGGCCGCAUUCGUGUUCAUCCUUAAUAUUAAAAUGUAAGUUGUAUUUUAUGAUAAUACAUAACAUAUAUAAAGGUUGAGGAUGAACACGGAUGCGGCCACUUUCGUUUUUGACAAAAAAACAUCUGAAAAUUGACAUUUUUCGGCAUAUUUGGUAGAUUUUUCACAUUUGAGCUUGAAUCGGAUCGUUUUUAAAGACUAAAUCAGUUAAAAUCUUUCACAUAAACUAAUUGAUUCAAAUGAAAUAGACACUUAAGUGUUUAAAAAGUGGUCAAAAUCUUUCGUCAGAUGAACCUGAAAUUUGAGGCCAAAAUUGGUCCUUACCGGACCUACUCCUUUAACUUAAAA
rnacentral:lncRNA from 1 species